rnacentral:lncRNA from 1 species
UAGACCAACGUUUUUAUAUAGUGAUGAUAAAUUGAAUUUAAUAUUUGUAAAAAUAAGCAUUUUUAUAAGUUGAAUUAUUUACUUCCAAUAUAAGUCUAAUUAUUUAUUUCCCCCGCCCCUAAUAUAAUAUCAAUUUGUAAUUAAAAAAAAGCUAAAUAUGUAUAUCUAAAUAUAAAGAAGUUAAACAAAAUGGCAGUAGCUUGGUUUUUUUUUUUUUCCCCAAAGAAUAAUGGGUAUUUUGGUGUUUUCACAAAAUGUAUGAGGCCAAUUUGAGUAAAAAAAUCUCAUUCCGAUUCAUCCUUGCCCAAACCCACCUCCCCCUCAUCCCCUCAGGAAUUCAAUUGCCCCUGUAUGAGACAAAUGAUUUUAUGUGGGCACCACGUUGCUUUUCAUUCCCAAUGGGAGGACCCAUUCCCACUUUAAGUCUGUAAACAUGUCCUUAAUUAAACUGGCGUCAUUAAAAUUUUAAACCACUUAUCAAACUCAUUCAACAGGUCUCGUCUGGUUAAUUAGCACUAUUUUUUCAACCCAAAAGAAAAAAAAAAAAAAAAAAAAAAGCCAUGACGGUUCCAAUUUGGCCAAUUUUUC